rnacentral:lncRNA from 1 species
AUAGAUAAAACAGAAAUCAUUAACCAAUGACCAAACAACACAUGCCUUGUCUGAAAACAUGUGGCUCGAUAUUCGCCAAUUGUUAGCUCCAAUAACUCAAACUUCUGGCUUGAAUUGCACUGGAAUUUCCAGAUAUUCAAAUAUAAAUAAAUAAAAUUUUAACUUAAUGUUAUUCAUAGUUAGCAACUGUAAUAAUCAUCCUAUAUGACAACUUAUUAUUUGAAGUAUUUGCAAUUACUGACUAUGAAUAUCAUUUGUUGUAUUUAGUGUUACUCUGAGAUGCUAAACAUUGUUACAAAACAUAUGCAAAAAGACAAAAAUCGAAAUAUAUAGACAGAGAUACAAAUAUUUUUGAAUGCCCAUAUUCUCUUGUUCAUAACGGAAAAUCUUAUCUUGUUUACUUUGGAGAAAAUCUUACCUAAAGUUCUCUUGCCACAUCAAUAAAUGAGCAAUCUUAUUUUGCCUACUGUGAGCAAGUUAACAAAUUCCUAUUUUUGGAUAGGAUUUGGUUGAACUGUUAGAAGAAGUUUGUCAGAAGGAAUGACCGCCCCUCACAUCGCCGUGGGUCCCACUUGAAUAAAAAAUCCUGACUCCCAUACGCUUGUGUGUGUUCUGUCAAGCCAUCUGUCAAACCUCCUAUUAGUGGAGCACGGCCCUUUUGGAUAUCCACUUGUUCAUGUAUCCUCUGAAAAUUAAACAACCUAGAUUAUCUAAACAAUGAAACCAGACAACCUUAUCCAUACUGCCUGUAUUUUAAUCCAGGAGAUCUCAAGGUUGGUGUCCGUUGGUUUUUCCCAUGGUGAGAAAUUAAUGUUCAGAGAAUCAAAUAAAUGGUAUGCCUAAACUUGAGUCAGUCUUGCAUGGAAC